UGCCUGUCGGUGUGCGCCUCUCAAUGUCUU
rnacentral:piRNA from 1 species